rnacentral:rRNA from 1 species
UGGCUCACCAAGGCGUCGACGGGUAGCCGGCCUGAGAGAGUGACCGGCCCACUGGGGCUGAGACACGGCCCAGACUCCUACGGGAGGCAGCAGUGGGGAAUAUUGCACAAUGGGCGGAAGCCUGAUGCAGCGACGCCGCGUGAGGGAUGAAGGCCUUCGGGUUGUAAACCUCUUUCAGCAGGGACGAAGCGUGAGUGACGGUACCUGCAGAAGAAGCACCGGCUAACUACGUGCCAGCAGCCGCGGUAAUACGUAGGGUGCAAGCGUUGUCCGGAUUUAUUGGGCGUAAAGGGCUCGUAGGCGGUCUGUCGCGUCGGAUGUGAAAACUCGGAGCUCAACUCCGAGCCUGCAUUCGAUACGGGCAGACUAGAGUUCGGUAGGGGAGAUUGGAAUUCCUGGUGUAGCGGUGGAAUGCACAGAUAUCAGGAAGAACACCGAUGGCGAAGGCAGGUCUCUGGGUAGUAACUGACGCUGAGGAACGAAAGCGUGGGUAGCAAACAGGAUUAGAUACCCUGGUAGUCCACGCCGUAAACGGUGGGCGCUAGGUGU